rnacentral:misc_RNA from 1 species
GUGAAAUUUGCCUUUGAAUCUUGAUAUGCAUUUCUACCUUAGGUGUGAUGCCUAUGGGAAUGGGACCUUGUAUUUGACGUCUAUGAAAGUUUAGCUGUGAAGCCUAAGUUAUUUUAUUCUAAUGUUCACAGCGUCUAGCUUGUAUUGCAAACAGCUCCAAAAUCUUCAUUUCACUACUAAAUCCCACCCUUUUACGAAGCCUCAUUGUUCACCUAAAUUUCUACUCAUUCUAGAUUCCUAAUAAAACCCAAAAUCUAGCCGUAAACAACCUGUCUUGCAAGCUGUUCUAUGCCUGUUAUUCUCACCUGUCUUGCCUAUGGUGCUUGAUUACUUUAUUAACAAGCUUCUUUUAGUACUUAUGCUUGUCAUUGGUUUAUGUAUUAUGGAAAGAAGCUGCCUAGUCU